rnacentral:rRNA from 1 species
CAGCAGCCGCGGUAAUACAGAGGGUGCGAGCGUUAAUCGGAUUUACUGGGCGUAAAGCGUGCGUAGGCGGCUUCUUAAGUCGGAUGUGAAAUCCCUGAGCUUAACUUAGGAAUUGCAUUCGAUACUGGGAAGCUAGAGUAUGGGAGAGGAUGGUAGAAUUCCAGGUGUAGCGGUGAAAUGCGUAGAGAUCUGAAGGAAUACCGAUGGCGAAGGCAGCCAUCUGGCCUAAUACUGACGCUGAGGUACGAAAGCAUGGGGAGCAAACAGGAUUAGAUACCCGUGUAGUCCCUGUCUCUUAUAC